AUAAACCCUCGUAGUCGGCAAGGUCGUCUAGAGUCAGAAAAGCAGGUGAAACAAAUUUCCGACCAAUCACAAGCUAAACAGUGACCUCCCAUACGCUUCAACAAGAUUACAAGUACUAUCGUUCGUCAGUUAUAUAAAUAUAUAAUUUGCCUAAGCCAUUCCCUAUUGCCAUUUCUCAGUGUAGUUUCCAUCUCCCCACGUUUUUUCUCCCCACAAAUAUGUCUGCCUCUUCCCUUUCUCUCCUCGCUCCGCCGGAAACGUCGAAUGAAGUUAAGAAGAAUCCACUGAAGCUCAGGAGGGAUAGCGCCCUCGACGGCGGUUUCGUCUCCGAAUCAGCCAUUUCUCCACCGUGGCGCUAUCCAUCCUGAGUUUCACCGGUUCUCCUUGCUCUGGCUCUGGCUAUCAUCCUCUGUACGAUUGUAGGUUACGGAAACAGAGUAAUGGUAAGAAUUGCAAGACACAUUGAUCUAUCACUCGACGAGGAAGUGAGAAGUGAGUAUUUUACGAUUAUUCUGUCGCUGAAGUUGAAUUUCGUUCGAUUCUAUCACAUAAAUCGUUUGCUUUAGUAAAUGUUCUGAAAUCGGAGUUUUGAUUCAAGGCUUGCAGUUUACGGGAAUGGAAAUCUCAGUUUAAUUUUCUUUGGAAUUGGUUUUGGUUGGCUUCAUGGCUUAACCGAGAUUGUUUGAGUUAUUAAAAUUUACAAUUCAAACAAUUAGGUUAAAUCCAAAUAUCAUGAAAUUCAAUUCAACUCUGGCGCGAGGGUUAGGAUGUUGUCAUUUUCUUGCUUUAAAGUGGGUGAAAUGUGAGGCAAAAUCUUCGCAGCGUAUCUUAGCUUUUUUUGGAACCUUCUGAUAUUUUCUUUGCAGAUAGUAGAAAAUCACAUGCCUUUUGCUUCAUUCAAGUCUUUUUCUUCAACAGGACGUAUGGUAACGUAUGGCAAAAUACUUAACGCCAUUUUUGGCACCAACCUUGUUAAUGGUAAAAAUGAGGAACACUGUGUUUUCUUUUCGCUGGCCCCGCAACAUUUAAUGUCAAUAGAAAAAGUAAACACUAACAAGGAAAAGAAACACUUUUAAAGCUUACUGUUCUUGUGCAAGUCAGUCAACAAAAAGAGGGGUUAGGCCAGCUCAAUCAGCCACUCCAAUCUCUUGCGAGAAGUUUAUCUCUAUAAAAAUGCUUGUUUGUUUAAAAUAAUUUUAAUCUUCGAAUUGGUUAAGUUUUGCUCAGAUCUUGAGAGAGAUAAUGCCGAUUAGGGUUUUGCAGCAUCGCAACGGAAGUUUGAGCUGAAAUUCCCGGUGAUCCGGAGCCGGAGAUCAGGCAUGAGCAACUGGACUCGUCAACGAUUCAUGAGAACAGUCACUGCACCUAUUGCCGGUGAAACAAUUUUCCGUGCAAAUCGGCUGGUAAACGUGGUUAGAGGAGGGACGGUCAAAUGAAGAAAUAUCUCCAAUUGAACUACAAGUAGAAGCAGCAUUAAUUUCCUCCAGUUGCUGAAGAAUUUGCUGAACAUCUGGCCGAGCAGCCGGUGAUGGAUCAACACAAUGCAGUGCUAGUUUUAACGUGUUCAGCAGUUCAUCACCAAUGUUUUGUGUAUCUUUCAUAAGUUCCAAAUCAAACACUUCAUUUGUCCACUCUUCCUUUACUAUCGAGGCCACCCACUGAGGUAAAUCCAUUCCAUCCAUGGCUUCUCCAGGA